CUCCACAUAAAAGGGAAGACACUCCAGCGAGCGAUCAACUCAAAGCCCAGCUUCUCGGCCUGCGCAUUGGGCAGGCGACUCCAAAGAGCCCAAGCCACGGCCACUGGCACUGGCCUGGCACUGGAACGAGACAAAAUGUCAAUGGGAGCGUCUUGUUCCUGGCCUGGCGUCUCACCAGACAACAUGCAAAUAGCAAAUAGCGUAUAGCGCAUAGCUAGAUGCCAAGUUGAAGUCGAGGAGGAAUCCGCAGCCCAAGGGGCCCAUGUGGCUAUGCAAUUUAGUCAAAGGCCCUAACGGCAUUUGAGCCAAAUGCGUUUACGUUUACGCAUCCGCUAUAAACUCGUAUGCCGGGUUGUUGCUGCCCCAGCCACUGCCGAUUCUCCAAGCGGGGAUCUGGGAGCAGGAAUGGCAGUUUAACCAUUUUAUGGAUAUGGCUGGAAAUUCAGAAAGGGGAUUGAUUAAAGGAACAUGGUUGGAAAGUCACCACAACCGAAUAUUGGAUCCUAAACUGAAUUGAUCGAAACAGUGAAAUGGAGGCGGUUUUGGCUUUAAUAUCCCUCAGCACUGAGGAAGAGGUGUUGGCAGCGAACCCAGAACCAGUUGGCAGCGUUAUACUUAGGCUUUAAGCAGGAGCAUGCGACAAAACUGUGCUCUGGGCCGGCUGCUCGGUGGCUGGGUCUGGGUCUGGGGAUCCACUUCCUUCGGAGCUGGGAACUGUUAAUUGGACCCAGCCAGCCCGUCCGCUUCCAGGGGCGUCGGAGUUUGGCAGUGCGUGGCGCACUUAAACGAGGUUAACUGUACUGCAGCAAAGGCAUCGCUCGUCUCUGGGCCGCGGCGCGAAUGUAAUUUCAACUUACGUCAACGCCAGCGCUCCAGGGCCACAGAUCCGAUGGGAGAUCCCAGAUCCGAGCGGUCAAUGCACGCAUUACCUACCAGUUACCAGUUGCCAGAUGCCCAGUUUCCAGCUCCCCACCGCCAGCUUAUCGGGCGGGAAUCGCGCAGCCCCGGCACUUUAGCUCCCAGCUCCCAAACCCCCUCUGCUGCCGCCUGCUCAAAAAAUCCCAUCAAAUCAGCAACGUGAUGCCGCCCUUGGGGCUCUGGGCCUGCACUCUCUCUAUAAAGCGGUCAUAACAUUUGCACCACAAUAAUAGCUGUAAUGCCAACCCAACGCCGCCUAGCCCCCAUUCAUUCAAGGAUAAUGUUACGGUUAAUGGCGCGUCCGCCGAGUAAUUUAAUUUACUCGUACACUCGCCACAUGCCCCCAACAAACGAACAAGGCGAAUUAUUAUGGCCGAAAAUCGCGACUAGACGGCCGCGCAGACGGUGGCCACAUGGAGCCCCAGAUGGGGCCGCAGAUGCAGAUACAGAUGGAGAUGGAGCUGAAGUUGGAGCUGGAGCUGGAGAUACCUCAUAUCGCGCCCAUCGGCGAUCGUCAGUCGCCCAGACUUUGGAGAUGAGACAGUGAGGACUGGCAGUCGGCCAAGUUGGCCCGAGCAAAUUGCCGGCAUCUAUUGCUAUAAUUUCCCAGAAACUUUGUAGCGAUGGAAAAUCUAGGCGGAAAUUCGGGAAUUUGGCGAGUUAAUGCGAUCAAAGAUAUAAACACUGAUUGAUAUUGAGUUACAUUUCCGAGGCGUAAUGAAGGGUUAUAUCUUCCCGGACUAUGACUUCGUUGAAAAAUGAAUUCCGAUUGGAAAAUAAAACAUUGUUUGAGAAGAUUCCAUAAUGGUCUAAAAUAUAAACUUUAUUAGUUGGUAUCAAAACGUAUCCUCAGAUCAAAUUUGAUUUU
rnacentral:sRNA from 1 species